rnacentral:misc_RNA from 1 species
GUCGGAGGGAUGGCUGGCUAUCGGAGUCGGAGCGGGGGAUGCUCUCGAGAAAGAGGAAAUAUUUCGAUGAGCGUCGACUUUCUCGGAAGUUUUCACAUUGAAGAAUUUCAAGCUGGUUUCACAAGUAUUGAAAUAAGAAGGAAACGACUCGUCAAAUAGUGUACUGUUUACAGGGGUGAGCCUCGUGCUGUUAAAAGUGAAUGCGGGAGACUUAAGUUGUUUGUUUUUUUCGUCGGUGUUUACAGCGCUCACCUUCUGGAGCAGAGGUUGGGGUUUUUGUAGCCACAAUAAUUGGAUUAUAACUCGUCGUCUAAACCCUCAGUUCUGAGGGAUCGAAGCUCGGAUUAACAACCCUUGAACAUACCUUUUUGAAAUAUGUCAUGCUAUUGUUUGACAAAAUACGUUUGUCAAAAUAUACACAUUGGCAACAAGUGGAUUAAAGUUCGAAGGAUAACAAAAAUAUUAAUGACCAGUUCAACAAAAGGAUACAAUUGAAAAUGAAUGAAUAUAACUAGUGCUUAAAUCGUUACAGGAUUCUAAAGUUCAACGACUGAAUUCAAACACAUGUGGGAUGGGAUUUCAACGCUGAUGAUAUUAUCACAUGGACAAGGAAUUGGAGCUUUCUUCGGGUCGUCUUAUUGCUUAUUUAAUACGCGGCAGACAGAACGAUAAACGAGUUUCAAGAGAUAAAGCUUCCCUAUAUCUCUCUCGGUUUCCUGCACGUGCAAUCGCAGGCACCGUCCCCAGAACACCCCAAUCACAGCUGCAGAGAGAACGAUCUACGCCAUACCAUUCAUUAACCCUGAUGCCCCCAAAACAAAGGCCACUGUUGCUAAUUAGGUAGAGGGACGGGAACCCGAGUUCCGUCCUAUAGCUCCAGUGCCAGGACCCGAACGUGUUCUCAGUCAACAUUAAUGAAAACAAGCAUAUAAUGCGAAAAGAAAACUGAGUAAGGAAUGCACGACAACUGCCAGCUUCGUAACGGUGUAUGGUGAUAUUCCAAUGAAGACACUAUGAACUGGCAAAGGUAUAACUACAAGGUGCGACUGAGGGACGAUAGCUCCUGGAAGAGGCAGCACGCUCCGUGUUCCCGCCCGACUCCACCAGUGCUCAAGUCAAAGGGUGAUGUAAAUGAUGAAGAAAUCUAUGAUGAUGGGACGUCAAUCACAAAUAUCAAAGUAUUGGGAGUGAAAGACAAGAUAGCCAUGUUUGGUCCUAAACCAACCGUGGGUAGUAAACCCAUGUCGCCAGCGCUUGCCAAAUUUCAUGCCAUGCGAGAGGAGUCUGGUCAAGGAGGCAGCAAUGGGGGGACUCCUUCCUGGAAGAAACCUGCCCCACCAAAAUCCCCUGAACCUUCACCUGCCAACAAGGCACCCCCGGCAUGGAAGAAACCAACGCCAACUUCUGUGGCGGAUAAGAGUGAACCUAGCAAGACUGUGACAACUCCUUCAUGGAAGAAACCAACGCCAACUUCUGUUGACAAGGAUAAGAAUGAACCAAGCAAGCCUGUGACAACUCCUUCAUGGAAAAAACCAACACCGACAUCUUCGGACAAGGAUAAGAGUGAACCAAGCAAGACUGUGACAACUCCUUCAUGGAAGAAACCAACACCAACAUCCGACAAGGCUGAUGAAAACAAGACAGCCCCUCACACAACCACUCCUUCUUGGAAAAGACCUCCAUCUGGACCGGAGAAGACAACACCAGCUUGGAAGAAACCGACCCCAACAACGGGCAAAGACUCUCAACCAGAAACCGACCAAAACCAAAAUGUCACCAAUGUUCCUGCAUGGAAAAGACAAAGCAACAAAGUUAACAUUCCGGGUAAAUUUGGAGGUACGAGUCCUUCACCUGAGGUGACCAUUGAGGAGAAGCCCGUCAAUGGGACUGCUACAAAACCUACAUCACCAUCCUCACCCACAACCAAAUCAUCAGAGUCUGAUUCGGGGCAGAAGUUCGAUCCAAAGGCGUUAUUACGCCGUACAAGUACGGGGGAUACGACUCCCAAACAAAUCACUUUCAAUCAUCCACGUCAACGAUCACCAGAUGUAACGUCUCCAUUCUCUCCUGGAAAUACACCAAAGAGCCCCUCUUCCAACAUUCCUAAGCAUGUAACACAGUCAAAGACUAUUGUGAUACGGAAUGGCGAUGGUAAAAAGUAUGAAAAGUUGCCAAAGUCAUCAAUAAUUACCACUGACCUCAAACCAAUCAAACCACUCAAGCUACUUGGCUCAAAUGUGAAGGAUAUUAUAGCAGAAUACAUAAAAGCUUUCGACGAAUAUAAAAAUGCCAAUGAGGAGUUGUAUGAUGAUGUUGGCAACUACAUCCAGGCACCCGAAGAGCAAGAAGUAUAUGAUGAUGUGGCCAACACCAUUGAACAUCGAUCCAGUAACAGGAAAUCUAAAAGGCCUGUGUCUGAGAUUGCCGCGAUGACGGAGGAGGAGGAGAUGAGAGAGUUUGGAUCAGCUGGGUCAGCCUCAGCAUCUGGAGGGUCAGCCUCAAUCUCGGGGGGAUCUAUGGCAGCACCAGUCACAGAGGAGAUAUACGAUGACGCAGAGCAAGAUGAGCUGUACGAGCCACUCCCAGAAGAUGAAGAAAUUCAAAAACCUGAGGUGGUGAUUCCAACAAAGAAAAUUCAAAAACCUGAGGUGGUGAUUCCCAAAAAGAAGUUGGAGAUCAGCGCUCAAGAAGACAAGAAGGAACUAGAGAGGAAAGCUAAGGAAGCUGCAGAAAAGAAAAAGAAAGAAGACAAAGAAAGAAAAGAGAGGGAAAAGAAAGAGAAGGCAGAACAAGCAAAACUUGAGAAAGAGCGAAAGGAAAAGGAGAAGAAGGAGAAGGAAUUGAGGAAGAAGUUCAAGCUGACUGGAGAUGAAAAGAAAUCCGCUGAGGGAGUAGUGAGAUCAAAGGCUAAGGGCGGGAAGACCGAGCUGGCAGUGGAGACCGGUGAGAUUCUGGAUAUCAUCCGGAUGACCGAAAACCCAGCCGGGAAGUGGCUGGUUAUGAACAGAGAAGGAACAUAUGGCUAUGUAGAAUCAAAGAACAUCGACAUUGAAGAAACCGCGAUUAAAAAGGCCCAUCUGACAGAGAGAUUGUGACAAAACUAUAUGAAGGCAGGAAGAAAUGUAUGAAGAUUUGGAUGAGUUUCAAGCGGAAUCGGAAGAAAUUUAUGAAGAGUGUUCAUGAUGUCCCCCUUUGACAAGAUACCACAGAGGAGGACACAGUCUAUUGUGAAUAUGUAACAACAUUGACUCAAGGGAGAUCACUCUUGCCUCAAGGGAGAUAACAAUUUGUAUCACUGUCAACAGUGCUAUUUUUGUACAGCAUAUAUGCUGACCAAAUAUUCAUGGAAAAUAUAAGCAAGAGUUUAGAUUCAUUGUCAUUUUGUCCACAAUCAAAAGAUACACAAAUGUCAAUCAUUUCUAAUUGUGAUUGUAAAUGUAAAUUUUCACUACUGUUACUUUGAAAUUGGCCAGUGUGUAGAGCUGGUCCUUGCUCCUCAUAACCAGCUGAUGAUCCACUGUGAUUAGCUGGUAGCCUUGUCUUCGGAGAUGUCGAGAUUGCUGCUGUCUGUAACACUACAAUAUUUUAGGCAUUAUAGUCACAUUAUGGUUAGGUUAAUUUGCAUGGCAAUAAGUGUUACAUUUGAAAUGUCACUUGGAAACCAUUCCAUUUUUUGUUUUACAUUUUUAAGUUUAUUUAAUUUUCUUAGUUCAUGUUGUGAGUGAAUGGAUCAAAUACCUGUAUUGUGCAAUCAAUCAACAACAAUAUUCCAGAUAGGCUUUCAUGUGAUGCAGGAUCUCCAUUUAUAAGAAAUGCAAGGAUGUAACCAUAGAAUUUUGUAUUAAGGAUGAAUUGAUAUACCGUAUUCGACCCAAUAAGCGCCCAGGGCGCUUAAAAUAAAGACAGAAGGGGUGGGCGCUUAUUGGGACCAAUUCAGAGUCAAAUUGGCGUAAAUUCAUCAGUAAGCCUAUUGAUAUUCUUCUGUUGCUGGGGGGCUAGAGAUUAACUGUUACUUACGUUUUACUGGUGAACAUCUCCUCAUUAACCAACUACAAAAGAUUCUUGACUGUAUGUAAAAAACAGGUGAGUAAAUCUCAUCCGGGAAAAGGGGGGGGGGGGGGCUUAUUGGGACAUGGGCGCUUAUUGGGUCAAAUACGGUAACACAAUUACCCCUAAGUUUUGAUUAUUAUUCUUAAAACUAUUUAUUUCUAGUUCUGCUUAGUUUUCUUGUCUGCACUGCAUCUAGUUUAUGUAUAAGCAUCCAUUGACAUAGAACUUCAUUGUUUUGGUUACAAUCUUUGGUCUGUUUCAAACGGCACUGACUACAAAUGUAAAUAUAUAUGUGUACAUAUCUGAGAGCAUGUAAAACAAAGUCGUACCAUCCAUGGCGUGUUGAUGUCGAUACAGUUCAUAAUAUGUUGCAAGCAGUAGUGAGACAGGUGCCGACCAUCUUGUCCGCCAACAUGCGGGGAGGUUUUCUUUCUGUAAAUAAUCGGCCAAAGAAAUGAUUUGCUCUCUUUUUAUGAUUUCUCGAUUUUUUUCAUGCUUUUGGAUGCCAACACAACCAAACCGCGAAGUCCACAGGGAUGAUUAAGUGGUUGGUCUUAUGGUUCUGAUAUACUGUAAAUCUUGUAAUUAAUGCGUCUCCAAAAGAAUGCGACCACUGGACCCUAGCCAAAAAUGCAACUCAAGAUGAAUGCGACACCCCCUCCUCUCAAGCAUCACUGGAUUUCUAUCUAAAGAUGUCCUCAGUCGGGUUUAGAAUCCUCACCUUAAUCCAACCUUACAUUAAUCCAAUCACACAACAAAUAGCAACGCUUUUUAGCGCUGAGUAAAGUACUUCCGCAAAAACAAUGCAUGGGCACUGGCUCGUGUCGGCCUUUGACGCAGUCACAAACAACUAAGGGUGGUGUCUGUCUGGACUUGCAGGUGUGAUCAGUGAUGACAUAAGUGAGUAGAACACUUGUCUUGACCCUAGCAGUGACAAUUCACAGGAUGUGAUUAGUGUUUGAAUGACAUUGUUUAUAUACUUUAUAUACAAGUGCUGCUCAAUAAACAGUGGUGUGGAAUACAUCAGCGUAUGUCUAAGUUGGUAUUUUUGGUAUCCAAAAUGUCUUAUUGUUGAUAUAAAUGCAAUGUUUAAAAAUGCGAGCAAAGACCACUCGCAUUUUUCGCAUUUAAUUCACGCUCGCGUUAAUUUCAAGAUUUACAGUAGUCGUUUGGUGCCAUAUUUCUAGAAGAUGGUAUCUGUGUACCAGCUUCAUUUAUAGUAAUAUAUAUAUAUAUAUAUGAUAGCCUCUAUAUCAAUCUCAUUAAAAUCAGAUCUUAGUUUUCGCUACUGCUAACCAAAGAUCUGAGGACAUCCCAUUACCAGUCACGUCAGAACGACCUUUCGCGAAUUUUGAUCGACCAAUGAAAUGACUGACAAGAAACCGACAUUGGCCAAUCAGAAGUCAGAUCUGAUUUAAAUGAGAUUGGUCUCUAUAUGUAUGCAAGAGUUUGAGCAACUGUUUAUGUUGUAGUAUGGAUGUUUGGAACAGAUGUACAUAAUUACCAUAGAUAUUCGGAUGAUUUGUGAACUCAGACAAGGCAUUUAUGGCAAUUUUUUCUUGGUUAAUUUUGAAACACAUUUCCAAAACUUUUAGCAAUACUUCUUCCAUGAAGAAACAUUUGACUAUAAGGAAAUAGAGCAUGGAGAUUCAAAGUAAAAUUAAAUGAUACCGGUGUUUGUAGUUUUUGAAAAUAUUACAGGUGAUUAAUUUUUUUUGUUUGUUAAGGAUCCACCGACAUAAAGAAAAUAGCAAAAUAAAAUUUAAAUGACGUUCUUGAUAUAUUUUUUUAUAUACUGCUGAUGGUAUAAGAAAAGAAAUAUGUUAAAAAUAUGUUAACAUGAAAUAUCACUCAAUUUAGUUUUUGUUGAAAAGAGGAUUUAUUGCGAAAUAUGAAAUACAUGGUGAAGUGUUUACCAUUUAAGUUUGAAGCGAUGUAGACCUAUAAGAGUUACGGCCCUUUGAUAUUUGCCAUCUGGAUGUGGAGCCGGAAACUUGCAAAAUUCAUGUGCCUUGUGAGUGCAGUCGAGGGAUAUUAAUUCAGGAAAUACAUGUUCAUUUAGAGACAGUUUUUGUUUUUUGGCCAUGGAAAUUUUAAGAACAAAACAAACACCUGUAAACUGACUAAAAAUAUGAAUCACCUUAUAGAAGCAAUAUUUUGGUUUAGUAGUGAGAUUCACAUUUCUGUGCUUAUGCCUUGGGAUCAAUAUACUCACUUCAAUAAUAUGCAAUACCAAGCACGUUUUUGUUUUAAUUACCCACCUAACUUGCUUAUGGGCUAACGUUACAUUUAUUGUGUGUUCUUUUUGUGUAAUUAGCAUAAUGAUUAAUCAAUUCAUUAAUCAAGAGAAUGUCUGCUUUUUCCUGAUUCAUGAAGGAGGAACUUAUUCCUGAAUUAACAAAUGUAAAACUACUUACUGUAUAUAUCUAGCUUUAUUUCCUAGCUUUAAUUGUUAGAUUACCAAAGUCUCGUGUGUAUUACUUCCAAGGGACUGGCUUUGCUGUCUGCUCUUCUUUCCAACCCAGUCUUGGUUUGUUCCACAUAGUGAUAUUAGUAGUUCUGAGGUGAUCGUAGCUCCUAUACCUUAACAUCGACUUACUGUUGUCGUAACGCUACAAUGAUGGUGUAAUUAGUGCUGUGUGUCAUUAUCUCUGUGUAAGGAAAUGAUGUGUAACUGUUUGGUUGACGUACAUGACGUUUAGGUUGCUUAAGACGGCAGUGUUUAAGACAUGACUCAAACGUGUUAGGAAUACCAACUCGAUGUCUCAUUAAUGAUAUAUUGGCUUCUGAAACAUGCAUUGCAAUGUGAAUAAAUCAAUUCAAAUCUUUUUCACAGAAACAAGGAAUAUGGUCAGUUGUGAUCAGAGUUACUGCCCUUCAUUUUCCUUCUUUUUUUUUUAUAAUUUGAACCAAUAAAUUAUUUUUUUCCUUUAUUAAGUCACAGAAAACACAAGUCAGAGUUAGAUUGACAAAAAAAAUUCACGAUGUUGCCUUUGAGGUCCGGGUAGUCCAGUUGGUAUCUGGGCCCUACUCGGGACCCAGCCACCGAGUACCCGAGUUACCCAUCCCAGCCCUAGAGGAAGCAGUUAUGGUCUGAGAGUGUGGAGUCCUACACAAGACCUGCUAGUUGAUGAUAUGUAAGGGCAGGAAAUCAAUGCAAGACCUUUCUGAACGUUUUGUGUCCGAUGUAAAUUCAAGCUAUUUGCAGUGUGUGGAUACCCAUCUUCAUCAUGUCCAAAAAAUUCACGAUGUUGCCUUUGAACUGAGUUCUCCAUCUUUACCAAAAUCUGGUCAACCAGAAUCUAGACUUUCUUUGCACUAGGGUCCUUCACUCGUUAAAUCUCUACAUUUGGCAACCUAUGUGAACUGUCACCUUAAUCCAGGAGUACUGUUGGGUGUGUCUCUUCACAAGGUUGGUCACAUGUGGCCCAGUCGUCUAAGGUGCCGCAAUUCGCUGUGCAGAGUUGCGUCCCUUGGGCACGCCAGACACCUAUGAUUGUGGGUUCGAAUCCCCGUUCUCCCUGAUUAUGUUUCUAGGUUUGUCAGCACCAUACCCGUGCUCGUUGGUUUCACCGAAGUAGAAAACAUCUAAGACCUGCCUGCAUCACAUCAGGCUUUCUUCCCACAUUGAGCUGACACACUGUGAUAUAACUGGAAUACUGUUAAGAGCGGUGUUAAACCCAAAUCACUUAUUCACUCUUCACAAGGAACACAUUACCUCACAAAAGAUUCAUGAAUUUCAAUUUGCUUGGGCUGAACUUUUUAAAUAGUUUUCAAUAUUAAUUCAUGUCAUUUUUUAGCAAGUUAUGGAUUAAUGUAUUUUUGAACCACUAAAAAACUUUAAUUCUUACUUAGGAAUUAUAUGGAGGAAUGAACAUGAUAUAAUUGAUUUUAAUAUGCUAACUUUUGAUUGCAAGUGCUCAUUUUUUGUUUAUCAAUUAUUAUUUGCUCAAUUAAAUCAUUUGUUGUUAUGCUAAUGAUUACCUUCAGGAUCAGAGGAAGUAGGGCUGGGAUGAGUCCAAAUUUACAACCUGGGUACCCGACCCCUGAUUACCCAACCCUUCCCGGGUAUGCACUGUAGGUCUUAAGCUUUACCAGAGUCCAAAUUUACAACCCGGGUACCCAACCCCCGAUUACCCAACCCUAUCCGGGUACGCGCUGUAGGUCUUAAGCUUUACCGGAGUCCAAAUUUACUACCCCGGUACCCGACCCCCUAUACCCAACCCUAUCCGGUUACGCGCUGUAGGUCUUAAGUUUUACCAGAGUCCAAAUUUACUACCUGGGUACCCGACCCCCGAUUACCCAACCCAAUAUUGGUACGUGCUGUAGGUCUUAAGUUUUACCGGAGUUCUGGCAAAAUUAAAGCUGCUCAGAUACAUGCACAAAAGUUGACAGAAGCUGUAUCUACUCAAACAAAUAAAAGUCAGAAGGAAUGCAUCCACAGUCAUCAAGAAAUAUGAAUAUUUAGCAACUGACCUGUGAAGAUCUGGAGUAGAGUAGGUCUUCAGCAACCAGUGCCUGCCGUAAAAGGCAAUAUGCUUGCCGUAAGAGGGGACUAACGGGAUCGGGAGGUCAGGCUCGCUGACUUGGUUGAUGCAUGUCAUCAUAUCCCAAUUGUGUGGAUCGAUGUUCACGAUGUCAAUGACUGGAUUGUCUGGUCCAGGCUUGAUUAUUUACAUACUGCCGUCAUAUAGCUGGAACAUUGCUGAGUGCGGCAACAAACAAACAAAUAAACAAAUUUAGCAACUCAUGUAUCCAUGGAGUUAUACUGCAUCAUCAUUAAACAAUAUAUCACGUGACUGACCACAGUUCCGGGCAGUCCAGUGGGUAUCUGGGCCCUACUCAGGACUCACCCACCGUGUACCCGAGUUACCCAUCCCAGCCCUAGAGGAAGCUGUUAUGGUCUGAGAGUGUGGAGUCCUACACAAGACCUGCUGGUAUGAUGAUAUGUAAGGGCAGGAAAUCAAUGCCAGACCUUUCUGAACGUUUUGUGUCCAAUGUAAAUUCAAGUUAUUUGCAGUGUAUGGACACCCAUCUCAAUCAUGUC